GAAGUGGCUCAGAUGAUCGCUCCCCGCAGGGUCUCACGACCCUCUCGCGGGGGGAGGAAAGUCCGAGCUCCAAAGGGCAGGGUGGUCGCUAACGGCGACUGGGGGCGACCCUAAGGAAAGUGCCACAGAAAAUAAACCGCCUGCGAGAUUAAAUUGGGUGUGGGGCAAUGGAGGAUGGAGUGGCGCUGUAUUUGCCUCUCCACUGCACAGGCCCCACAUAAGAUAAUCCCGUCGGUAAGGGUGAAACGGCGAGGUAAGAGCUCACCGCUUCGGUGGCGACAUCGAAGGCAUGGUAAACCCCACCCGGAGCAAGACCAAAUAGGAGAGCACGAAGGGGGCGAAAGCCUUCUUCUAAGGGCGGCCCGCCCGAGCUCUCGGGUAAGGUCGCUAGAACCGGCUGGCAACAGACGGUCCAGAGAAAUGAUCAUCACCUCGACAGGGUCGGGGAACAGAACUCGGCUUAUGAGCAACUUCGACU
rnacentral:RNase_P_RNA from 1 species